UACGUAGGGGGCAAGCGUUGUCCGGAAUCAUUGGGCGUAAAGAGCGCGUAGGCGGUCCGGUAAGUCCGCUCUGAAAGUCCGGGGCUCAACCCCGGGAGGCGGGCGGAUACUGUCGGGCUAGAGUCCGGAAGAGGCGAGUGGAAUUCCUGGUGUAGCGGUGGAAUGCGCAGAUAUCAGGAGGAACACCGGUGGCGAAGGCGGCUACCUGGACAGAAACUGACGCUGAGGCACGAAAGCUAGGGGAGCAAACAGG
rnacentral:rRNA from 1 species